rnacentral:rRNA from 1 species
UUUUAUUAUGAGAGUUUGAUCCUGGCUCAGGACGAACGCUGGCGGCGUGCCUAAUACAUGCAAGUCGAACGCUUCUUUCCUCCCGAGUGCUUGCACUCAAUCGGAAAGAGGAGUGGCGGAC